AUUGAACGCUGGCGGCAGGCCUAACACAUGCAAGUCGAGCGAGCGGCGGACGGGUGAGUAAUGUAUGGGGACUGCCCGAUAGAGGGGGAUAUCUACUGGAAACGGUAGAUAAUAUCGCAUACUCUCGGAUAACCCAUAUGGGAUUAGCGAGUAGGGGGGGUAAAGGCUCACCAAGGCAAAGAUCCUUAGCUGGUUUGAGAGGACGACCAGCCACACGGGGACUGAGAAACGGCCCAGACUCCUACGGAGGCAGCAGUGGGGAAUAUUGGACAAUGGGGGAAACCCUGAUCCAGCCAUGCCGCGUGUAUGAUGAAGGCCUUCGGGUUGUAAAGUACUUUUGGCAGGGAGGCGGUAUCUGCAGAAUAAGCACCGGCUAACUACGUGCCAGCAGCCGCGGUAAUAC
rnacentral:rRNA from 1 species